rnacentral:lncRNA from 1 species
GACAGCUUCCGCCAUCUCUAAAGCACUUUGCCACACAGUGGCUGCCGGUUCACCUUGGGUUUGCUUCUGACCUUGUAUGUGUCAGAACCCACGCACAUUAGUUAUGGUCACCUUUCUACAGAAGCUCUCAUGCUCCAGGCGAUGGGGUACAGAAGCUACCUGGAGCCAGUUGAGUUGCAUGUGUCUAAACUGACGGGCAGUGGCUUAGGAGAGGAGAGGAAAGGAGAGGACAAAGCAAAUGAAUCUUUUGGUGAGAUUGUUUUUUGUUUAUGGUUUGUUUUGGUUUUUUUGUUUUUUGCCCAGUUUGUUUUGGUGGGAAAAACAACUGUGAGCUGCCUAGCAUAUGUAAAUUUGUAGUCUAUAUUUAUGAGACCAUUGCUUAAAAAUUAUAAAUUAUGUAAAUACAUUAAUAACUUCUGAAUUCCUUUCAGUAUUCACUUAGUCCUGUGCCCAGUCUCCUGUGUGCCCACCCAGUUUUCAGCCUGUCCACAGGAACCUCUGAAGCCCAUUUAUCUUGUGCAGGAGCACGGAGCGCUUAGCUCACAGCUUCCUUCCUUCCUUCUCCCUCUCCCUUCUGCAUCCCAUCUGGAAAUGGUAAUAAAGACAUAUGCCUCCGU